AUACGGAGGGUGCAAGCGUUAAUCGGAAUUACUGGGCGUAAAGCGCUCGUAGGCGGCUUGUUAAGUCGGAUGUGAAAGCCCCGGGCUCAACCUGGGAACUGCAUUCGAUACUGGCAGGCUAGAGUAUAGUAGAGGCAAGUGGAAUUCCGGGUGUAGCGGUGAAAUGCGUAGAUAUCCGGAGGAACAUCAGUGGCGAAGGCGACUUGCUGGACUAAUACUGACGAUGAGGAGCGAAAGCGUGGGGAGCAAACAGGAUUAGAAACCCCAGUAGUCC
rnacentral:rRNA from 1 species